ACUCCUACGGGAGGCAGCAGUGGGGAAUAUUGCACAAUGGGCGCAAGCCUGAUGCAGCCAUGCCGCGUGUAUGAAGAAGGCCUUCGGUUGUAAAGUAACUUUCUAGCAGUGAGGAAGGUGGAUAUGUUAAUAAGCAUAUUCAUUUGACGUUAGCUGCAGAAGAAGCACCGGCUAACUCCGUGCCAGCAGCCGCGGUAAUACGGAGGGUGCGAGCGUUAAUCGGAAUUACUGGCGUAAAGCGCAUGCAGGUGGUUUGUUAAGUCAGAUGUGAAAGCCCGGGGCUCAACCUCGGAAUUGCAUUUGAAACUGGCAAACUAGAGUACUGUAGAGGGGGUAGAAUUUCAGGUGUAGCGGUGAAAUGCGUAGAGAUCUGAAGGAAUACCGGUGGCGAAGGCGGCCCCCUGGACAGAUACUGACACUCAGAUGCG
rnacentral:rRNA from 1 species